rnacentral:rRNA from 1 species
AGUGAACGCUGGCGGUAAGCCUAACACAUGCAAGUCGAACGGCAGCACAGUAAGAGCUUGCUCUUACGGGUGGCGAGUGGCGGACGGGUGAGGAAUACAUCGGAAUCUACUUUUUCGUGGGGAUAACGUAGGGAAACUUACGCUAAUACCGCAUACGACCUACGGGUGAAAGCAGGGGGUCUUCGGACCUUGCGCGAUUGAAUGAGCCGAUGUCGGAUUAGCUAGUUGGCGGGGUAAAGGCCCACCAAGGCGACGAUCCGUAGCUGGUCUGAGAGGAUGAUCAGCCACACUGGAACUGAGACACGGUCCAGACUCCUACGGGAGGCAGCAGUGGGGAAUAUUGGACAAUGGGCGCAAGCCUGAUCCAGCCAUACCGCGUGGGUGAAGAAGGCCUUCGGGUUGUAAAGCCCUUUUGUUGGGAAAGAAAAGCAGCAGGUUAAUACCCCGCUGUUCUGACGGUACCCAAAGAAUAAGCACCGGCUAACUUCGUG